GUGGGAUGAGACAUGAAAGCCCUGUGAACAUCCUGUUCCCUGACAACCCUUCAGAGCUGGUUUCAGUGCCACUGCUGAAGCCUCUGGGAAACGUUGAUUACACUCACGGUGACGGUGGCAAUUUCUUGAAUUCCUUCUACAUUGACUGCCUGCGUUAUUCAGUGAAGCAGACAUGGCCUAUUCCCUACAUUUGCCCCUUGAAAAUGUUCAAUUUUAAUUUAAAAGAUUAAUACAGCCAGGAUAUUCUUUCAACAGGCAAAUAAAAACCGCAGUUUAAACUCUAAGUUUCAAUCAGAAACUAACAGCUCUUGGAUUUCCCAGGGCUCACACUCCUCUGAAACAACUCACGAAGAGCCUGAGGAAGCAGUUCUCACUGGAAAAUGCAAGAAAGUAUGUUCCGGUGAAGACCCUCAGCUCUGUUCAUUUUCAUGAUGCAAAUGCCCACAAAGGUGGUUUUGACCUGACUGACCCUGUGCAAGGAGGCACAGUCUCCUCACCAGCAUAAGCACGUGGCAUCAGAUGCGGAGACAGUUUUGGACGUGGAUGGAUGUUUACACACUGAGACUCCUUCAGUGUCCCUUCAAGAAAAUGUGGACACAAUGUCUCUGAAGCCUGUUAGUGACCAUAGAAUUAAUUUCACUAAUACCUUUCGGUCACCGACUCCUGAAAAGAGAACACGUGAAUAUCAUGAGUCCGUUGAAAAAAGACAGUAAGUGGGCUUGAAAAAACAGAAUAAAAGAAACACAAGUUUUCAUUUUGAUCAAGGUUAAAAGGAUGCAGUUAAGGAACAGCUGCCUUCCACCUGAAUGAGCCACUAGAUGCUAAAACACUUUUGCUUGUCUGUAAACAUGUGAAUACAAUUAGGUUUAUAUUACUUUGAAGAAACUAUUGUGUUAUCUAAAUUUGUAACGUCACAUUUGAGAGACUCAGUGAUUAAAAACAGCUAUUUUCACUGUAGUUAA
rnacentral:lncRNA from 10 species